GCCGGUGUGGCGGAAUUGGCAGACGCCCGGGACUUAAAAUCCCGUGAGCCGAGAGGUUCGUACCGGUUCGACCCCGGUCACCGGCACCA
rnacentral:tRNA from 1 species